UUCCUGGUGGUCCAGUGGUUAGGACUCCCUGCUUCCACUGUAGGAGGACAUGGGUUCAAUUCCUGAUCAGGGAA
rnacentral:tRNA from 1 species